rnacentral:rRNA from 1 species
ACAUGUAUGGAAGUUUCCAGAGAUGGAUUCGUGCUCGAAAGAGAGCCAUAACACAGGUGCUGCAUGGCUGUCGUCAGCUCGUGUCGUGAGAUGUUGGGUUAAGUCCCGCAACGAGCGCAACCCUUGUCAUUAGUUGCUACAUUUGGUUGGGCACUCUAAUGAGACUGCCGGUGACAAACCGGAGGAAGGUGGGGAUGACGUCAAGUCCUCAUGGCCCUUAUAGGUGGGGCUACACACGUCAUACAAUGGCCGGUACAAAGGGUCGCAAACCCGCGAGGGGGAGCCAAUCCAUCAAAGCCGGUCGUAGUCCGGAUCGCAGUCUGCAACUCGACUGCGUGAAGUCGGAAUCGCUAGUAAUCGUGGAUCAGCAUGUCACGGUGAAUACGUUCCCGGGUCUU